AUACGGGGGGGGCGAGCGUUGUCCGGAAUUAUUGGGCGUAAAGGGCGCGUAGGCGGAAUAGUAAGUCGGUGGUGAAACCCCAGGGCUUAACUCUGGGACUGCCUCCGAUACUGCUAUUCUUGAGUUCGGGAGAGGAAAGCGGAAUUCCCGGUGUAGCGGUGAAAUGCGUAGAUAUCGGGAAGAACACCGGUAGCGAAGGCGGCUUUCUGGACCGGUACUGACGCUGAGGUGCGAAAGCGUGGGUAGCAAACGGGAUUAGAAACCCUAGUAGUCC
rnacentral:rRNA from 1 species